rnacentral:rRNA from 1 species
AUUGAACGCUGGCGGCGUGCCUAACACAUGCAAGUCGAGCGCGAAAGGGGCUUCGGCCCUGAGUAAAGCGGCGCACGGGUGAGUAACACGUGGAUAAUCUGCCCAUAUGUUCGGGAUAACGUCUGGAAACGGGCGCUAAUACCGCAUACGCUCUGGGUUUAAAUUCAGGGGAAAGGUGGCCUCUGCUUGCAAGCUACCGCAUAUGGAUGAGUCCGCGUCUCAUUAGGUAGUUGGUAGGGUAAUGGCCUACCAAGCCGAUGAUGAGUAGCCGGCCUGAGAGGGUGAUCGGCCACACUGGGACUGACACACGGCCCAGACUCCUACGGGAGGCAGCAGUGGGGAAUAUUGCGCAAUGGGCGAAAGCCUGACGCAGCGACGCCGCGUGAGGGAAGAAGGUCUUCGGAUCGUAAACCUCUGUCAGAAGGGAAGAAGUGUAUACGUUCAAAUAGGGCGUAUGCUUGACGGUACCUUCAGAGGAAGCACCGGCUAACUCCGUGCCAGCAGCCGC